GAUGAACGCUAGCGACAGGCUUAACACAUGCAAGUCGAGGGGCAGCAUAAAAGUAGCAAUACUUUGGUGGCGACCGGCGCACGGGUGAGUAACGCGUAUGCAACCUACCUAUCAGAGGGGAAUAACCCGGCGAAAGUCGGCCUAAUACCGCAUAAAACAGGGGCACCGCAUGGUGCUAUUUGUUAAAGAUUUAUUGCUGAUAGAUGGGCAUGCGUUCCAUUAGGUAGUUGGUGAGGUAACGGCUCACCAAGCCGACGAUGGAUAGGGGAACUGAGAGGUUGGUCCCCCACACUGGUACUGAGACACGGACCAGACUCCUACGGGAGGCAGCAGUGAGGAAUAUUGGUCAAUGGGCGAGAGCCUGAACCAGCCAAGUCGCGUGAAGGAAGAAGGAUCUAUGGUUCGUAAACUUCUUUUGCAGGGGAAUAAAGUGGAGGACGUGUCCUUUUUUGUAUGUACCCUGAGAAUAAGGAUCGGCUAACUCCGUGCCAGCAGCCGCAGUAAAAC
rnacentral:rRNA from 1 species